rnacentral:rRNA from 1 species
AGCUCCAAUAGCGUAUAUUAAAGUUGUUGCGGUUAAAAAGCUCGUAGUUGGAUUUCUGUUGAGAACAGCCGGUCCACCUCUUGGGUGAGCAUCUGGAUUGGUCUCGGCAUCCUAUCGUAGAACGUUUCUGCGCUUGAUUGCGUGGUGCGGGUUACGAUACUUUUACUUUGAGGAAAUUAGAGUGUUCACGGCAGGCAUACGCCUUGAAUAUAUUAGCAUGGAAUAAUAAUAUAGGAUCUUGGUUCUAUUUUGUUGGUUUCUAGAGCUAAGAUAAUGAUUAAUAGGGACAAUUGGGGGCAUUCGUAUUAAUGCGUCAGAGGUGAAAUUCUUGGAUUGCAUUACGACGAACUACUGCGAAAGCAUUUGCCAAGGAUGUUUUCA